ensembl:ncRNA Y71H9A.4 ncRNA
GAAAUUCACGUAAAAUAAAUAAAACAAAUUAAUUUACUAACCUGCUAGAAACAUUGCAUUCCAAAAGGUCCACACUGGAGUUAAUACAUGUCCCAGCCCAACAGAAUUAUUAUAUUCUUCUACACUCUGGUUGA